AUGCGACGAAAGUUUCCAUUCUUUGAUUGGGAAAGUUCCUAUUUGUAGAAAGUUUAUAUUUUUGUAGUUUCUAUUUAUCAUUUUUAGUAAGUUGCCAUUUUUCAUUUUAGUAAAGUUUCUAUUUUCUUAUUAGUUUCUAUUUUUAGGACCUCCAAGCAAUGGAAAAUCUUGAGGAGGAAAAUCAAAGUUGCAAGCAAGUGGAAAAUCUUGAGGAGGAAAAUCAAAGUUGCAACCAAGUGGAAAAUCUUGAGGAGGAAAAUCAAUUCAAGUUGAACAAGUGAUAAACAAGUGGGAAGAUAUUUUUUACAAAUUUGUCUAACAUAUCUAGCCCUUCAUUUAUGUUCAUCUCCACCCUCCAUUCAUCAUUUUUUGGGCUAUAAAUACACUUCUCCUCUCACUCUCAUAACACCAAUUCCUUCAUCCAUCUCAUCUUCUUUGUCUCUCCAUUUCCU
rnacentral:lncRNA from 1 species